rnacentral:rRNA from 1 species
UCGGCAGGCCUAACACAUGCAAGUCGAGCGGAUGAAGGGAGCUUGCUCCUGGAUUCAGCGGCGGACGGGUGAGUAAUGCCUAGGAAUCUGCCUGGUAGUGGGGGAUAACGUCCGGAAACGGGCGCUAAUACCGCAUACGUCCUGAGGGAGAAAGUGGGGGAUCUUCGGACCUCACGCUAUCAGAUGAGCCUAGGUCGGAUUAGCUAGUUGGUGGGGUAAAGGCCUACCAAGGCGACGAUCCGUAACUGGUCUGAGAGGAUGAUCAGUCACACUGGAACUGAGACACAGUCCAGACUCCUACGGGAGGCAGCAGUGGGGAAUAUUGGACAAUGGGCGAAAGCCUGAUCCAGCCAUGCCGCGUGUGUGAAGAAGGUCUUCGGAUUGUAAAGCACUUUAAGUUGGGAGGAAGGGCAGUAAGUUAAUACCUUGCUGUUUUGACGUUACCAACAGAAUAAGCACCGGCUAACUUCGUGCCAGCAGCCGCGGUAAUACGAAGGGUGCAAGCGUUAAUCGGAAUUACUGGGCGUAAAGCGCGCGUAGGUGGUUCAGCAAGUUGGAUGUGAAAUCCCCGGGCUCAACCUGGGAACUGCAUCCAAAACUACUGAGCUAGAGUACGGUAGAGGGUGGUGGAAUUUCCUGUGUAGCGGUGAAAUGCGUAGAUAUAGGAAGGAACACCAGUGGCGAAGGCGACCACCUGGACUGAUACUGACACUGAGGUCCGAAAGCGUGGGGAGCAAGCAGGAUUAGAUACCCUGGUAGUCCACGCCGUAAACGAUGUCGACUAGCCGUUGGGAUCCUUGAGAUCUUAGUGGCGCAGCUAACGCGAUAAGUCGACCGCCUGGGGAGUACGGCCGCAAGGUUAAAACUCAAAUGAAUUGACGGGGGCCCGCACAAGCGGUGGAGCAUGUGGUUUAAUUCGAAGCAACGCGAAGAACCUUACCUGGCCUUGACAUGCUGAGAACUUUCCAGAGAUGGAUUGGUGCCUUCGGGAACUCAGACACAGGUGCUGCAUGGCUGUCGUCAGCUCGUGUCGUGAGAUGUUGGGUUAAGUCCCGUAACGAGCGCAACCCUUGUCCUUAGUUACCAGCACCUCGGGUGGGCACUCUAAGGAGACUGCCGGUGACAAACCGGAGGAAGGUGGGGAUGACGUCAAGUCAUCAUGGCCCUUACGGCCAGGGCUACACACGUGCUACAAUGGUCGGUACAAAGGGUUGCCAAGCCGCGAGGUGGAGCUAAUCCCAUAAAACCGAUCGUAGUCCGGAUCGCAGUCUGCAACUCGACUGCGUGAAGUCGGAAUCGCUAGUAAUCGUGAAUCAGAAUGUCACGGUGAAUACGUUCCCGGGCCUUGUACACACCGCCCGUCACACCAUGGGAGUGGGUUGCUCCAGAAGUAGCUAGUCUAACCGCAAGGGGGACGGUUACCACGGAGUGAUUCAUGACUGG